CCCUUAGAUGUUCUGGGCCGCACGCGCGCUACACUGAUGCAUUCAACGAGUCUAAAACCUGCUCUGAUAGGGGUGGGUAAUCUUUUGAAUGUGCAUCGUGAUUGGGAUAGAUGAUUGCAAUUUUUCAUCUUCAACGAGGAAUGCCUAGUAAACGCAAGUCAUCAGCUUGCAUUGAUUACGUCCCUGCCCUUUGUACACACCGCCCGUCGCUCCUACCGAUUGAAUGAUCCGAUGAAUAUCAUGGAUUGAGGAUGCAAGUAGGUUCGCCUAUCUUCAUCUUCGAGAAGUGAAGUAAAUCUUAUCACUUAGAGGAAGUAAAAGUCGUAACA
rnacentral:rRNA from 1 species